UUCCCAGUGAACCCGCAGCUGAGUGUCCAGAGCUGUGGACUCCUGCCAAUGAGACGACGGACACAGCGCCCCUGCUCUCUCGCUCUCUCUGUCUCUGUCUCUGCACAGAAAUGCUGAUUAACCUCCCAUUGUUGUCCUACUCUGAGUGCGACCCCACACCUCGGCGCGUUUGAAAACAUUUGGCCACGUUCCAAACCACGUCGUCAGAGACGAGAGUGGAGAUGUGUUUUAAUGAGGCCGGUUCCCAGGGAAUGUAAAAAUAAAAACCAGCCUCAGUGAAGUGGAGAUAAUGUCACACACACGUCGUCUCUCAGCUGGAGGGAUUGUCCUCUAAGAAAUAUGAAAGUGUGCAGACAGGAAGUGUCCACACCUGCACUCAGAGGUUGAGAGGAGGAAAAAAAAGCUUCUUUGACCUAAAAACACACACAGAGCACAUGACUCUUGAAGGUGAGCAGUGACUCUCUCUCUCUCUCUCUCCGUGGUGUGGCACAAUGAUGGGCUGCCCCCUGCAGUUCAGCCUGAGGUGCGUCAGCCUCAUCAUGUUCACCAAACACUGCACUGCGUUACAUCCUGGAAACCAUGGACGUGAGAGCUCCAAGUGUUUUCACUGCGGAAAAAAAUGGCAUCUUACUCCAGAUCUUCUGGACGUGAAUAAAAUAUGGCAGUCGAUCUCUCAGCCUGUAGGAGACAUAAAAAAUUCAGUGCAACUAUUCUUGCUCUGCUGUUUCCUCUGUUAGGUAACUCCCCUCACUCUUCCUGCAGCUGCUGCCGUACUUUGCCUCUUCCUCAGAUUGACGCUGCAAACUCGUCAGUGAAGUGCAGAUGUAGAAACGUGGGAGUGGAGACACACGGCCAUCAGAGGGCACCGACUGCGGAGGCGUGAGUAAUCCCUGCUGUUGCUGUGGCAACCGGCCAAAUAUGGCACCAUCGCCAUCUGGUGCAGAUGGAUGGAUCCAUACAUGUGCAAACACCUCAGAGAGAAGGCUCACCUCAUAAAAUCUGCGUCCGCCUAAGUCGCUCAAUCCCCUGCACCAAAGUGCAUGGAGAAAACUGUCGAUUUUACAUCACAGCACACAGGAGUUGUUGAUCCACUGCUGCCCCCGCAGGCUAAAAAGGCCAAUUUUCUCUAUGGACUUUGGUGCAGGAGAGUAAGAAAAGUCUGUUUGACAGUGAGGAACAUAUUCACAAGCUAUCGUAUUUAAAAUGAACCGAGUGACCGCUCUUCAAAGAAUGUAAACGAGUGAGUGUGUCACAGGGCAGAGCAGAGGAAAAAAUGAGUCUCCAGCUGUUGUUCUGCAUGAGCUGGAGCUGAGUGUAUAUGUGGUGUGUGGUUUUCCGGCAGAACUCUCCACACAGCUGCAGUUACUGCACUUACAGCAGUUAUAGCAGUUACUGCACUUACAGCAGUUAUAGCAGUUACUGCACUUACAGCAGACAGAUGGACCUCAGACCUGAUCAGUCAGAGGCUCCUCCUCGUAUCCUCCCCUGACCUCUGGACAUGACCUUUAAAUUUAGCUGAAGAGACAAGAGACGAGUUUUCUCGCUCUGACUCGUCUUCAACUUUUAUAGAUAUUUGAUUUUGUCUCGUGUGAGAAAUGUGAGCUGGAAAUGACUCACGGCUCAAAACAACUAAUGUGUUCCAGACCUUCAUGACCCAGGAUAUGAGUGGUGUGAAGUGAGAGCGACGCCGAGUUAAACACAUUCUAGUUGGAAACUAUGAGGAAACAUUAACCAAAACCUAUCUGGGGCUAUUGAUAGUUAGUAAUACUAGUCAAUAAAAACACUCUACACCAGGGGUUUCAAACUAAAAUGACCUGGGGGCUCUUUAUUAUUAUUAUUAUUGUUAUAAUAAUAAUAAUAAUAAUAAUGAUAAUAAUAAUAAUGUAU